AGGGGAACCUGCGGCUGGAUCACCUCCUUAAAGAUAAGGUACUUGAGGAAUUAAAGUGCCCACACAGUUUGUUUUCGAGAAGAAGCGAUGAUUGCCGUAUUUUUUGGGUGGAUUGGAAUGGUUUCAUGAAGCUUGUGAGAUAGAGAGGCAAGACGAGGGGUCGUAGCUCAGCUGGGAGAGCACCUGCCUUGCACGCAGGGGGUCGGGAGUUCGAUCCUCCCCGGCUCCACCAAAUCAUUGUGAGAUAGUAUAGAGGGGAAUGCUUUUGUUGUUUGUGGAUUGGCAAGAGUAUUUUCAUCUGGAUUAUCCGGACGUUCAUUAACAAGUAGGUAAAGAAAGAGGUAACACGAGCGAAGAGUCUGCAUUGUGUAGCAUUGAUUAUUGAGGAUUGGAUUAAUCUGAGGUGAUUGAGGUUAUAUGGUCAAGAAGAG
rnacentral:tRNA from 1 species